rnacentral:rRNA from 1 species
ACCGGAUCCCAUCAGAACUCCGCAGUUAAGCGUGCUUGGGCGAGAGUAGUACUAGGAUGGGUGACCUCCUGGGACGUCCUCGUGUUGCACCCC